GUGCUCGCUUUGGCAGCACACAGACUAAAAUUGGGACGAGACAGAGAAGGUUAGCAUGGCCUCUGCACGAGGAUGACACACAAAUUCAUGAAUUGUUCCAUUU